rnacentral:misc_RNA from 1 species
CCGGAGCCCACUCCUGAACCCACCCCUACGCCCAGCCCGUCGCCGGUUCCUGAGCCCUCUUCUGAGCCUGCGCCUGCUCCGUCCUCUGCCGCCCCCGCUGUGCCCGCGCCCUCUGCUGACAGCAGCAGCGGCGGCAGCGGCGGUGGUGAGAGCUACACUGGUUCCCUCACCAUGAACUACUACGGUGGAGGCAACGGCGCUUGCGG